AUUGAACGCUGGCGGCAGGCCUAAUACAUACAAGUCGAACGCGUGGCGGACGGGUGAGUCAUGUCUGGGAAACUGCCUGAAGGAGGGGGAUAAAUACUGGAACCGGUAGCUAAUACCGCAUACCAUCAGAUGUGCCCAGAUGGGAUUGGCGAGUUGGUGGGGUAACGGCUCACCAAGUCGACGAUCCCUAGCUGGUCUGAGAGGAUGACCAGCCACACUGGAACUGAGACACGGUCCAGACGCCUACGGGAGGCAGCAGUGGGGAAUAUUGCGCAAUGGGCGCAAGCCUGAUGCAGCCAUGCCGCGUGUAUGAAGAAGGCCUUCGGGUUGUAAAGUACUUUUAGCGGGGAGGCGUUACCCGCAGAAGAAGCACCGGCUAACUCCGUGCCAGCCGCCGCGGUAAUUC
rnacentral:rRNA from 1 species